rnacentral:rRNA from 1 species
GGAAGGCAGCAGUGGGGAAUAUUGCACAAUGGGCGAAAGCCUGAUGCAGCCAUGCCGCGUGUGUGAAGAAGGCCUUCGGGUUGUAAAGCACUUUCAGUUGUGAGGAAAGGGGUGUCGUUAAUAUCGGCAUCCUGUGACGUUAACAACAGAAGAAGGACCGGCUAACUCCGUGCCAGCAGCCGCGGUAAUACGGAGGGUCCGAGCGUUAAUCGGAAUUACUGGGCGUAAAGCGUGCGUAGGCGGAUUGUUAAGUCAGAUGUGAAAUCCCGGGGCUCAACCUCGGAACUGCAUUUGAAACUGGCAAUCUAGAGUACUGUAGAGGGUGGUGGAAUUUCCAGUGUAGCGGUGAAAUGCGUAGAGAUUGGAAGGAACAUCAGUGGCGAAGGCGGUCACCUGGACAGAUACUGACGCUGAGGCACGAAAGCGUGGGGAGCAAACAGGAUUAGAUACCCUGGUAGUCCACGCCGUAAACGAUGUCAACUAGCUGUCUGUGGUCUUGAACCGUGGGUAGCGCAGCUAACGCGAUAAGUUGACCGCCUGGGGAGUACGGCCGCAAGGUUAAAACUCAAAUGAAUUGACGGGGACCCGCACAAAAGGG